GAUGAACGCUGGCGGCGUGCCUAACACAUGCAAGUCGAGCGAGAUCUUCUGAACGAAACUUCGGUCUAGCGAAGGAAGUGGAAGCGGCGGACGGGUGAGUAACGCGUAGGCAACCUGCCCCAUACAGAGGGAUAGCCUCGGGAAACCGGGAUUAAAACCUCAUAACGCGAUCUGGUCACAUGGCCGGAUCGCCAAAGAUUUAUCGGUAUGGGAUGGGCCUGCGUCUGAUUAGCUAGUUGGUGAGGUAACGGCUCACCAAGGCGACGAUCAGUAGCCGACCUGAGAGGGUAAUCGGCCACAUUGGAACUGAGACACGGUCCAAACUCCUACGGGAGGCAGCAGUGGGGAAUAUUGCACAAUGGGCGAAAGCCUGAUGCAGCAACGCCGCGUGAGUGAUGAAGGCCUUUGGGUCGUAAAGCUCUGUCCUAAGGGAAGAAACAAAGGACGGUACCUUAGGAGGAAGCCCCGGCUAACUACGUGCCAGCCGCCGCAGUAAAAC
rnacentral:rRNA from 1 species